rnacentral:rRNA from 1 species
UACGGAGGGUGCGAGCGUUAAUCGGAAUUACUGGGCGUAAAGCGCGCGUAGGCGGUUUGGUAAGCUGGAUGUGAAAGCCCUGGGCUCAACCUGGGAACUGCAUCCAGAACUGCCAAGCUAGAGUAUGGUAGAGGGCAGUGGAAUUUCCGGAGUAGCGGUGAAAUGCGUAGAUACCGGAAGGAACACCAGUGGCGAAGGCGACUCACUGGACUCUAACUGACGCUGAGGUGCGAAAGCGUGGGGAGCAAACAGGAUUAGAUACCCGUGUAGU